GAUGAACGCUGGCGGCGUGCCUAAUACAUGCCAGUCGAGCGAACGGACGAGAAGCUUGCUUUUCCGAUGUUAGCGGCGGACGGGUGAGUAACACGUGGAUAACCUACCUAUAAGACUGGGAUAACUUCGGGAAACCGGAGCUAAUACCGGAUAAUAUUUUGAACCGCAUGGUUCAAAAGUGAAAGACGGUCUUGCUGUCACUUAUAGAUGGAUCCGCGCUGCAUUAGCUAGUUGGUAAGGUAACGGCUUACCAAGGCAACGAUGCAUAGCCGACCUGAGAGGGUGAUCGGCCACACUGGAACUGAGACACGGUCCAGACUCCUACGGGAGGCAGCAGUAGGGAAUCUUCCGCAAUGGGCGAAAGCCUGACGGAGCAACGCCGCGUGAGUGAUGAAGGUCUUCGGAUCGUAAAACUCUGUUAUUAGGGAAGAACAUAUGUGUAAGUAACUGUGCACAUCUUGACGGUACCUAAUCAGAAAGCCACGGCUAACUACGUG
rnacentral:rRNA from 1 species